AGGCGCGUUCCGGGACCCGGCGGAGGAAGGGAAGGCCUGGCUGUCCAGCGGAAUCCGCCUGGACGCACGGAACUCGCGGACCCGACCGGAGCAGCUCUUCGGGCCCUGGCGUGAACCCUUCUCCCAGAGGCACAUGCCCAGAACCCAGCAAUGGCCAAUGGGACCUUGAUGGCCGAGGGCCAGUUAGCUUUUCUAAACCCUACCUGGAUAAGGAUAAGAAAUAGAAGGAGGGGACACUUUAGGAUGCUACAAAAUAAAAUACAACAACAACAACAGCAACAAAAGGGGAAGAAACAAAUCUGGCCACUGCACAUUCCUCCUUGCCAACAAAAAGCCGUGGAUGCAAAAAGCUGCCCUUCACUGCAUAGACAGAACAGGGCGCGCUCGAGCUAUGAAUCUCGGAAAUUACUCAAACCAUCAGCCUCUGCAAGAAGCAAAGUGGACGGCCGGGCGCGGUGGCUCACUCCUGGAAUCCCAGCACUUUGGGAGCCCGAGGUGGGCGGAUCACGAGGUCAGGAGAUCGAGACUGUUCUGGCUAAACCAGUGAAACCCCCUCUCUACUAAAAAAAUAACAAAAGCGAAGUGGAUCUCCCAUAAACGAGGUACUGCAGGAAGAAAGCAGAAAAUGAGACCCGAGUACACACAUGCACGCGGGCGUGCGCACACACACACCAGAAGAAAUGAACCAAGAGGAAAGGAAAUAUUUUCAACCACACGGGGCUCCUCACUGUUCCCGUAGCAGCAGGCAUGUGCCCCCACAGGGCCUCUGUACUGGCUGUUCCCACUGCCCGAACACCCUCAUGCACCAUCUGCACUGUCCAAUACGGCCGCCUCUGGCCACACAUGGCUACUGAGCAGUUGAACAUGGCUGGUCCAAACCAAGAUUUCCAAGACGUC
rnacentral:lncRNA from 1 species